UACGAAGGGGGCUAGCGUUGUUCGGAAUGACUGGGCGUAAAGGGCGCGUAGGCGGCGAUUUUAGUCAGGCGUGAAAGCCCUGGGCUCAACCUAGGAACUGCGUUUGAUACUGGAUCGCUUGAGUGUGGGAGAGGAUGGUGGAAUUCCCAGUGUAGAGGUGAAAUUCGUAGAUAUUGGGAAGAACACCGGUGGCGAAGGCGGCCAUCUGGACCACUACUGACGCUGAGGCGCGAAAGCGUGGGGAGCAAACAGGAUUAGAUACCCUGGUAGUCCACGCUGUAAACGAUGUGUGCUAGACGUUGGGGGGUUGCCCUCCGGUGUCGCAGUCAACGCGUUAAGCACACCGCCUGGGGAGUACGGUCGCAAGAUUA
rnacentral:rRNA from 1 species